GAGACGGCAUCAAAAGCACACCGCGAAACCGCUGCUGCGGAGAGAACUGUGGCUUCCCCCAGCAAAAGGGGAGAUGAUUGUACCCCGAAUCAAUGCGCUCAUUGGCUGCCCUGGCCGGGGGGGGGUGUCUAAGCCUGAACAGGAUUCCCGCUGCUACUGUGUGUCAUUAAAUUGGCAACUGCUAUAAAUUAGCUUGACAGCUAACGUCAAGCUGCACGGUAUUAACAACAACCCCCCCACACACACACCCCCGCGGCCAAGAGAAAGAGGACAAGGCGGGUGCUGCGCGACGGUCGGGGAGUUAUUUUUCGAAAUAUGAGCGCUGCAUUAUCACAAGGGACAUCACACUGUUCACCAAGGUCACGCACUCAAGGCAACAGGAGCAUUGUGGAAAAAUCGAAGGCACGAUAUAGAGCCAAUUCUUUACUACCCAUGCUAUUGCUAUUAAUAAAAAUAAUGUAUAGCACCUGUCAGAAGAAGCUCAGGAUGCUUUGUAAAAAUACCCAGUUACUGCACUCAUCACCAUGGUAGAAGAAUCUAAUGCUUCACAGCAAUACAGAGAGGACCUGUUCAAAGCCCAUUGAAAUCAACGGAACUUUUUCAGUGGACUCAAGUGUUCAUCAGCAGUCGAACCAAGACAUUUCAGAUAAUUUUUGAAUAAUGAAGAAUAGGCAUGUGGAGAAAAGUAUUGUGAGUAUAAUAAAGGUGAAACAAUGGAAGACUAGGAAUCUAUGCCUGAGAAACCUGAAAGAAAAUAGGGACAAUGCUUAGGGACCAGGUUAAAUUUAACAGGUAGAAAUUAUUAAUUACAUAUACAAAUAAGGGGAAACACAAGAGGGGAGCUACAUGAAUUGAGUUAUAUGGUUGCUAGAUCGUAUGCUGCAAUUCUUUGAAUUUUGCGAAAUACACAGUGUGAUGCUGGCAGACCUGGAGCCAACUCUUGCCAACGCUUUAGGCCUCAGCUGAAUAUUGACAAAUUCAUUGCUGGAAACCAGUCCAGGUCACCUGUGUGUUAGUAUGGUUAAAACAGGUAUUGAACUUAUAACAUGUUUAGACUAUGAAAUGCUUGUAAGUUGAUGCGUGCAUUAGUCUCACUUACAACAUCUUUAUCACAAGCUAUAAGGUAAUAUUUAAUUGGUUUGCUUUAUGACUGUAAAAAAAGUUUGCUCUGAACUUUUGAACCCAGUCAGAAGGGAUCGUCUAACCAUCAAGAAGGCCUAUCAAAACUAAAUGGGCCAUUGUGGGACACUACUAUAAUAAAUAUUAAGCAUACUAAGACUAUGCUAAUUGCCUCUCACACCCAUAAAGAGGCGUAGAGACUGUCCAGUUUGGCCAAUGUACAUGGCAGAGGGGCAUUUCUGGCACAUGAUGGCAUGUAUCACUCACCAGCAACCACACAACAAAACCACUAACCCAGGAACCUAUCCUUGCAACAAAGCCCAUUGCCAACUCUGUCCACAUAUCUAUUCAAGGGACGGACACCAUCAUAGGACCUAAUAACAUCAGCCACACUAUCAGAGGCUCGUUCACCUGCACGUCUACCAAUGUGAUAUAUGUAAUCAUGUGCCAGCAAUGCCCCUCUGCCAUGUACAUUGGCCAGACUGGUCAGUCUCUGUGCAAAAGAAUAAAUGGACACAAAUCAGAUGUCAAGAAUUAUAACGUUCAAAAACCAGUCGGAGAACACUUCAACCUCCCUGGACACUCAAUUACAGACCUAAAAGUCACAAUUAUUCAAAAAAAAAAAACCCUUCAAAAACAGACUCCAAUGAGAAACAGCAGAACUGGAAUUAAUCUGAAAACUGGACACCAUUAAAUUAGGCUUGAAUAAAGACUGGAAGUGGAUGAGUCAUUACACUAACUAAAAACUAUUUCCCCAUGCUAAUUUUCCCCCUUCUGUUACUCACACUUUCUUGUCAACUGUUUGAAAUGGGCCAUCUUGAUUAUCACGACAACAGGUUUUUUUUUCCUCCUGCUAAUAAUAGCCCACCUUAAUCGAUUGGUCUCGUUAAGAGUUGGUAUGGCAAUCCCCAUUUUUUCAUGUUCUCUCUAUAUAUAUAUCGUCCUACUAUUUUUUCCACUGCAUGCAUCUGAUGAAGUGAGCUUUAGCCCACGAAAGCUUAUACUCAAAUAAAUUUGUUAGUCUCUAAGGUGCCAUAAGUACUCCUCGUUCUUUCUGCUGAUACAGACUAACAUGGCUACCACUCUGUGACGAGGUGGGACUGUUCUUAAUGUUUCCUCUGAAUACUGUAGGGGUGCCUCAGUUUCCCGUAUGCAUUUCGUAAGUCUCUAGGUGGUGGGAUAAGGGGGUGUAAUUGUUGCAGAGCAAAGGGCCAGUUUACAUAAAUGGCCGACACUGUCUCCUGGCAACUGAUGGCCUGGACCCUUCCCCCCUGCAAGGUGAUAGCUAAAGAGUUGGAGAACAAAGGAAUCAGGUGACCUCCUGGCCCGGGAAAGGGACAAAGCCCAGAGGAGGAGGGGGUGGAGGGUGAGUCAGUUUGGGCUGGCUGGGGACGUGGAGUGAAGUGCAGAUGUGGUUGUCUGGCUCACUGCCCCCCAAAAUGGACCUGGCUGAGUGGUCCCGUUCUCUGUACCUACAAGCUCUAUUUUAGACCAUGUUCCUGUCAUCUAAUAAACCUCUGUUUUACUGGCUGGCUAAGAGUCACAUCUGACUGCAAAGCUGGGGUGCAGGACCCUCUGGCUUCCACAGGACUCCACCUGGGCAGACUUGCUGUGGGAAGCGCACGGAGGGGCAGAGGAUGCUGAAUGCUCCAAGGUCAGACGCAGGAAGGUGGAAGCUGUGUGAGCUUUUUGCCCUGAAGACAGUCUGCUCGCACAGAGGAGACUUCACCAGAGUCCUGACUGGCUUCAUAGGGAGCAGUUCCAGACCAUCGCCCGGGGACUCCGUGACACACAGUGAAACCUGUCUCCAGACAAUGUGACACACAGUUAUACCAGUUAUCUAUUCAAUAAGCAAGAUGUAAAACAUGAGUUAAAUUUAAAUGUAAUAACAACCUCAAAAUAUGUCUGCUCAUGUAAAAAAGCUAUGUCAAUGUAAUGAAUGGCUCACUAGGCUUUCUGUUUUACUGAUGUCAGCAGUAACAAAGAAAUGCUUUGCAAAAAUCACUUUUAAUGGCUAGAUUAUAAGAUCUAUUUUCCAAGGCAGAGCAUUAAAUAACAUCCAUAGCCAUAUAUAAUUAGGCUUGGAAGGGUUAGAUUAUUGUCAGUAAAUGUCGAUUUCACCAUACUCACACAAACUGAUGAAAAAAUAUUUCCAUUGAUAACAGUUGGAAUUUAAAGAUAGAAAGAAAAUGAAAAAUGCUGCUGGAAAACUUAGUUUGAUUUAAGGAUAUUUACUGUGUACAUUUUGAUAUGUGAUGUUGACAAUUUGUGUUGUACCAAUUAUAAAGUUUAAUUUUUUUAAUCUCAACAUCUGUCAUCAAAUAUUUGUCUGAUGCCCCAUAAUUUCCUGCAAAUAUGAACAUUUAAAUUGAUAAAAAAUAGGGAAAAUGCUUAAAACCCAUAAUUUUGCAUAACCGAAAAAUUAAAUAAAUAAAAAGCAGGGGAAAAUGCUUAAGAAUACAUUAUUGAAAAACAGUUGAACUGCAAGUUUUCAUGACAUGAUGAAAACACCCCCAUCAAAACUCUGACCCCUUUCUACUCUAACACUUGAAUAGUGCAACCACACCACUGUUGAAUAACUGGUACUAUUUUUUCUAGUGUAGUCAGGGCCUUAGAUACUGUGGUGGUGACUAUCAGGGCUUGUGUACACAAGAAGGUUACUUUGAAUUAAGAUGGGAGAUGAAUUUAUAGCACACUAGCUACUCUUAAAUAACUCCAUGUGUAGACAAGCCCUUAGAAAUGGUUUAGGCAGAGAGCUAUACAUAAUACUGAAUAAGAACUGCAGGAGAUGCCCUCUAGGUGGCAGGAUUCUGAAUUGUGCAUAUAAUUUUAUUUUUUAAAUGUUUAUGUUUUGAAGAGUGUUAAUGGCUUGUUUUAACAUCUGUUUUAUAAGUAAUAUGAGAUAUAAACUUGGAAUGUUGAAAAGCAUAAGGACUGAGUAGUACUGAACAAAAAAUUAAUUACCUGAAACAAAAAAGAAAAGGGCUAAAUAAUUGAAGAAUUUAAGUAAAAGCAUAAGUUUCAAAGUAGAUUUGGAUUUUGUUAGAUAAUUAUUGUGUAUUAGAUGUGUUUUCACCAUUUCCAGUCAUUUUCUUAGACCUCUAUUAAAAUGCAGGAAAUACAAGCGUGA